rnacentral:sRNA from 1 species
UGGCAAAAUUCGACGUUUAUGUGUGCUU